GUCGCCUUCGCAUAACGGAUAAUGCAAUCCCCUCCUAAGGGAUAGAUACAGGUUCGAUUCCUGUAGGCGAUACCA
rnacentral:tRNA from 2 species